AAUUUUAAAGCAAAGUAUUAAGGACAAAUGAUAGGCUUUUCACUACCUGAAUAAUCCUACCGGUUGAUAAUCAAUUUCUCUGCUAUAAUACCACAGCAUUUCCCCUGUUCUCAUUCCAUAGUCCUUCUGCAGUGAGGGAUAUUGGCGUGAUAGCAAGCAAGAGGAAGUGUGAGCAAGAACAUGAUCCAAUGACCUGUGAGGAGGCAAAGAACACAGAGUAAUCCCUGCCCAAUAAACUCGGGAACCACGAAGUAAUUGACUCGAGACGAGGCAUCAAAAGGGUUCAUAUAGUCAUCUUCCAAGUCCGAUAAUAUCAAAACCUUGG